rnacentral:rRNA from 1 species
GACGAACGCUGGCGGCGUGCCUAAUACAUGCAAGUCGAACGCAGUGGGGACGGGUGAGUAACACGUGGGUAACCUCCCAUCAGAGGGGAUAACCCUUGGAAACAGGUGCUAAACCGAUACUGAUGGAUGGACCCGCGGUGCAUUAGCUUGUUGGUGAGGUAACGGCUCACCAAGGCCACGAUGCAUAGCCGAGCUGAGAGGGUGAUCAGCCACACUGGGACUGAGACACGGCCCAGACUCCUACGGGAGGCAGCAGUGGGGAAUAUUCGGCAAUGGGCGAAAGUCUGACCGAGCAACGCCGCGUGAAUGAAGAAGGUUUUCGGAUCGUAAAGCUCUGUUGUUGGAGAAGCGGUAUCUAACCAGGAAGCCACGGCUAACUACGUGCCAGCAGCCGCGGUAAUUC